rnacentral:rRNA from 1 species
GGCGGACGGGUGAGUAACACGUAAAGAAUCUGCCCUCAGGUCUGGGAUAACCACGAGAAAUCGGGGCUAAUACCGGAUGGGUCAUCGGACCGCAUGGUCCGAGGAUGAAAGGCGCUUCGGCGUCGCCUGGGGAUGGCUUUGCGGUGCAUUAGCUAGUUGGUGGGGUAAUGGCCCACCAAGGCGACGAUGCAUAGCCGACCUGAGAGGGUGAUCGGCCACACUGGGACUGAGACACGGCCCAGACUCCUACGGGAGGCAGCAGUAGGGAAUCUUCCACAAUGGACGAAAGUCUGAUGGAGCAACGCCGCGUGAACGAUGAAGGCCUUCGGGUCGUAAAGUUCUGUUGUAAGGGAAGAACAAGUGCCGCAGGCAAUGGCGGCACCUUGACGGUACCUUGCGAGAAAGCCACGGCUAACUACGUGCCAGCAGCCGCGGUAAUACGUAGGUGGCAAGCGUUGUCCGGAAUUAUUGGGCGUAAAGCGCGC